UUAAUUAUUGAAUUAUAUUACUACUAAUUAUUCUAUUUUCUUUUCUAUAAAUUGCGUGCAUAAUUUACUUCAGAAUACAGGUUAUAUCUUUUUGCUAUUAUAUAAAAUAUUUCCCGAUUAGUUUUUAUUUAACUUUCAGUUCAACGAUUUUCCAUGUUUUUUGUAGGCAAGAUUUUAUAAGUUAAAAUUAUUUCAGAAAGGGUUCCUAAUAAAUAUCUUCGUGUACGCGUGCGCGAGGGUGUGUGUUUUACAAUUAUUUAUUUAUUUUUUUUUAUUCUAGGUAUAUCUAAAAGAUAUUACUUAAAAUUGUACUUUAUGUACAAUUUGUGUGAAAAAAUUACAAUUUACAAUAAUGGUCAUUAAACAAACAGAUGCCUCGUUUACAGAAAUGAAAAUGUUGAAAUAAAAAAUAUUCUAUAGUAGCUAAAAUUCUCUUUAAAAUAAUGUUUUAAUAUAUAAUUAGAGUAUUUGAGACCAGAUUUACAAAAAUGAUUUUAAUGAGAACCUGCAAUUAUUAAAAUUUAUAUAAUUAAUUUUUAUUUGAUUAUACAUCUGAAGUUUCUUUAUUCUUAUAAACUAGAUAGUAAAAAAUUUUUCUUCAUAAUAGAAAAAGUCUGAUAUACGAUAUGUCUACGAUCCAAGGAUUCUCUAAUAAUGUAAUUUCCAUUUCCAUUAUUUGUAAUGAUAUGACAAUUUUGUGUAUUGUCCUGAUUCUUUAAGAAUCAUUAUGAAUAAUAAGAAAAACAGCAUUUUCUGUCUUCCACGUUCCAGUAUUUAAUAAUAUUCAUUUAGAACUGAAUAUAAUUAAUCAAGAAUCUUUUUAAUGGAGAAGAGACUGCAAUCACAAGAUAAGCUUACUUACUCGAAACUGCUAGUCAAUGAACUACCUGUUAACGAGAUUAGCGCACCAGCUGGUUGAACAGAAAGAAGAUCAUUUAAAAAUAUAUAGCUCGAUAGCUU